GACGAACGCUGGCGGCGUGGAUUAGGCAUGCAAGUCGAACGGUAUCAUCCUUUCGGGGGUGAGAGAGUGGCGAACUGGUGAGUAACACGUAGGUUAUCUACCCUCAAGACGGGGACAACCCAGGGAAACUUGGGCUAAUACCGGAUGUGAGCAACUUUUAGUUGUUUGAAAGGUGGCGUAAGCUGUCGCUUGGGGAUGAGCCUGCGUCCUAUUAGUUAGUUGGUGAGGUAACGGCUCACCUAGGCAAUGAUAGGUAGGCGGCCUUAACGGGUGGUCGCCCACACUGGGAUUGAGAUACGGCCCAGACUCCUACGGGAGGCAGCAGUCGAGAAUAGUCUACAAUGGUCGGAAGACUGAUAGUGCGACGCCGCGUGAACGAUGAAUCCCUUCGGGGUGUAAAGUUCUUUUAUAUGUGAGCAGUGCUUCUUAUAUUAACAGUAUGGGGAGAGAGAUAUUAGCAUAUGAAUAAGCAACGGCUAACUCCGUGCCAGCGAGCCGAGU
rnacentral:rRNA from 1 species